AUAUAUAUGAUGUCCUAGCUCCAAUUAAUAUGUUUGCGGUAAGAAAUAUGGCUUAUUUUAAAAAGCUUAUUAUAAUGAACCUGGCUUUGCUGUUUGUGAUGAUUAUUCUCAUGUCAAUGAAAGUGGCAGCAACAAGACCACUAUACAAAAUUGAGCCACAUCACAAAGCAUGUCAGUAAAAAAUCUAAUUCCAAAUAUUUGUCUUUCUAUUUUUAUUUUUCUAAAAAACAUAUAAUUUCAAUAUUUAAUUUUCUUUUCAUUUAGAAUUUAUGUAUAUAUUGUUUAGUACUAAUUGAUUCUCCAUGUUUGUAUGGGAAUUUCAAAGAUGCACGACGACUUUUUUCUCUUGUUAAUGAUAGUCCACUGAAUCACAACUAUGAGAUUCCUCCUCCUGCAAUAAUCAGUUGAUGGUCCAGAGAAAAACUUUUGUAAAUAUUAUGUACUCACAUCAAUGGAUAUAUAAAGUAUUAUGACUUAUAAGUAGUACUAAGUUAAUUAUGUAUAGGUAUAUUUCUUACAAAAGAUAGAUAUUGUUGCUUAUAAGUUAUAUAUAAGAAAUAUAGUUUGAAACUACAAAUCUGUAUAAUUUUUUUUUUCUUUUGUUAUAUAAUUUGGAGAUUUUGUAUGAACGUUGUUGAUUGUAUUAAUGAAUUAAGGGU
rnacentral:lncRNA from 1 species